rnacentral:misc_RNA from 1 species
GAAAUGCGAUACUUGGUGUGAAUUGCAGAAUCCCGUGAACCAUCGAGUCUUUGAACGCAAGUUGCGCCCGAAGCCAUUAGGCCGAGGGCACGCCUGCCUGGGUGUCACACAUCGUUUCCCCAACGCAAACAUGUAACAAUGUUGCUGCGCGGGGUGUAUGCUGACCUCCCGCGAGCACCCGCCUCGUGGUUGGCCACCUACCUCGACCUGUUUUACAUUUUCAACCUUGACCUCAGGUCAGGCGGGGCUACCCGCUGAGUUUAA